CACCUUGCGGUGCACCGCCCCACCCCCUAUAUUGGUUUUGUUCGGGCUUGCUCGGACUAUGGCGAUAAACGCACCCGUAAUAAACGGCUCGGACCCGGGGGCGGUACCC
rnacentral:tmRNA from 1 species